CCUACGGGCGGCAGCAGUGGGGAAUAUUGGACAAUGGGCGAAAGCCUGAUCCAGCCAUGCCGCGUGUGUGAAGAAGGCCUUCGGGUUGUAAAGCACUUUCAGUGGGGAAGAAAGCCUUGGGGCUAAUACCCUCGAGGAAGGACAUCACCCACAGAAGAAGCACCGGCUAACUCCGUGCCAGCAGCCGCGGUAAUACGGAGGGUGCGAGCGUUAAUCGGAAUUACUGGGCGUAAAGCGCGCGUAGGCGGUCUGAUAAGCCGGUUGUGAAAGCCCCGGGCUCAACCUGGGAACGGCAUCCGGAACUGUCAGGCUAGAGUGCAGGAGAGGAAGGUAGAAUUCCCGGUGUAGCGGUGAAAUGCGUAGAGAUCGGGAGGAAUACCAGUGGCGAAGGCGGCCUUCUGGUCUGACACUGACGCUGAGGUGCGAAAGCGUGGGUAGCAAACAGGAUUAGAUACCCCGGUAGUC
rnacentral:rRNA from 1 species